rnacentral:ncRNA from 1 species
CUUUACCAUCAGCUAUAGCCUAAUUUAUACAUGCAAGUAUCCGCACCCCCGUUGAGAAUGCCCUAUUCCCCUCUACCCGRGGACAAGGAGCAGACAUCAGGGCANNCCCAAAUUGACACCAGGCCCAAGACGUCUUGCUAAGCCACNCCCUCAAGGGACCCCAGCAGUAACAAACAUUAAGCUAUAAGUGCAAACUUGACUUANUUAAGACUAAUUUGGGUCGGUAAAAUUCGUGCCAGCCACCGCGGUUAUANGAAAGACCCNAGUUGAUGAACGCCGGCGUANAGGGUGGUUAAGGCCUCACAACAAUAAAGCUAAAGACUCUCUAAGCUGUUAUACGCACCACGAGACACACGAAACCCAAAUACGAAAGUAGCUUUAAACACAACUGACCCCACGAAAGCUAAGAAACAAACUGGGAUUAGAUACCCCACGAUGCUUAGCCAUAAACCCAGAUAUAACACUACACACAUAUCCGCCAGGGUACUACGAGCACAGCUUAAAACCUAAAGGACUUGGCGGUGUCUCAGACCCACCUAGAGGAGCCUGUUCUAGAACCGAUACCCCCCGUUGAACCUCACCACCCCUUGCCUUGUCCGCCUAUAUACCGCCGUCGUCAGCUUACCCUGUGAAGGCCCAAUAGUAAGCAAAAUGGGUACCCCCAAAAACGUCAGGUCGAGGUGUAGCGUAUGGAGUGGAAAGAAAUGGGCUACAUUUUCUACAACAUAGAAUAUAACGAACGGCACCCUGAAACAGCUGCCUGAAGGCGGAUUUAGUAGUAAAUAAUUAACAGAGCGUAUUUUUGAAACAGGCUCUGAGACGCGCACACACCGCCCGUCACUCUCCCCCCACACACACAACUAUAUUUAUAAUACAUUACAAGAUUAGACGCGGGGAGGCAAGUCNUAACACGGUAAGUGUACCGGAAGGUGCACUUGGAUUAUC